AGCGACAGAAGAAGCACCGGCUAACUCCGUGCCAGCAGCCGCGGUAAUACGGAGGGUGCGAGCGUUAAUCGGAAUUACUGGGCGUAAAGCGCAUGCAGGUGGUUUGUUAAGUCAGAUGUGAAAGCCCGGGGCUCAACCUCGGAAUUGCAUUUGAAACUGGCAGACUAGAGUACUGUAGAGGGGGGUAGAAUUUCAGGUGUAGCGGUGAAAUGCGUAGAGAUCUGAAGGAAUACCGGUGGCGAAGGCGGCCCCCUGGACAGAUACUGACACUCAGAUGCGAAAGCGUGGGGAGCAAACAGGAUUAGAUACCCUGGUAGUCCACGCCGUAAACGAUGUCUACUUGGAGGUUGUGGCCUUGAGCCGUGGCUUUCGGAGCUAACGCGUUAAGUAGACCGCCUGGGGAGUACGGUCGCAAGAUUAAAACUCAAAUGAAUUGACGGGGGCCCGCACAAGCGGUGGAGCAUGUGGUUUAAUUCGAUGCAACGCGAAGAACCUUACCUACUCUUGACAUCCAGAGAACUUUCCAGAGAUGGAUUGGUGCCUUCGGGAACUCUGAGACAGGUGCUGCAUGGCUGUCGUCAGCUCGUGUUGUGAAAUGUUGGGUUAAGUCCCGCAACGAGCGCAACCCUUAUCCUUGUUUGCCAGCGAGUAAUGUCGGGAACUCCAGGGAGACUGCCGGUGAUAAACCGGAGGAAGGUGGGGACGACGUCAAGUCAUCAUGGCCCUUACGAGUAGGGCUACACACGUGCUACAAUGGCGCAUACAGAGGGCGGCCAACUUGCGAAAGUGAGCGAAUCCCAAAAAGUGCGUCGUAGUCCGGAUUGGAGUCUGCAACUCGACUCCAUGAAGUCGGAAUCGCUAGUAAUCGUGGAUCAGAAUGCCACGGUGAAUACGUUCCCGGGCCUUGUACACACCGCCCGUCACACCAUGGGAGUGGGCUGCAAAAGAAGUAGGUAGUUUAACCUUCGGGGGGACGCUUACCACUUUGUGGUUCAUGACUGGGGUGAAGUCGUAACAAGGUAGCGCUAGGGGAACCUGGCGCUG
rnacentral:rRNA from 1 species